AUGCAUGAUUUAAUACAAGAAAUGGCAUUUCAAAUUGAUCGUCAAGAGUCUCCUAAAAAGUCGGUGGACGCAGUCGAUUGUGUCAUCGUAAUGACAUCAUUCAUGUAUUGAUAAACAAUACAGCAACUAACAAAAUUCAAGGCAUUGCCUUAAGAAUGGCGGAGCUUGAAAGGUGGAUAUUGGAAUUGUGAAGCAUUCUCUAAGAUGAUUAACCUGAAAUUUCUUGAAGUUGAUAAUGUGAUCAUUUCCUCAA